rnacentral:misc_RNA from 1 species
UUAAUCUCAAACUUUGGAGUGUUUUAUCUCUUCAAAGCUUUUUGGAUUUUGGGGGGUUGCCAGCAAAUAUAUGUUAGCUCCUCUUAAAUGUAUUAGCAAGGAAAACCAAUUUUCAAGGAUGAACUUGGCUCUGGUUUGAUAAUUGAUAUCUAUGCCAUUGCUUUGAGAAGUCAGAAAAAUGGUCUUUUCAGCUUACAAUCUGUCCCUUGAGACACUGAA